rnacentral:rRNA from 1 species
GACGAACGCUGGCGGCGUGCUUAACACAUGCAAGUCGAACGGAAAGGUCCUGCUUUUUUGGGCUGCUCGACUUACGAACGGGUGAGUAACACGUGAGUAACCAACCCUUCACUUAGGGUUAACCUAAGGAAGGAUAGGCUAAUACGGCCUAGGAGCUAUCGCUUCUGGGUGGGGGUGGGAAAGUUUAGGCGGUUGGUGAUGGACAGGCGUCGUAACAGCUUGUUGGUGGGGUAGUGUCUUACCAAGGCUUGGAAGGGUGGCCGGCCUGCGAGGGUGACAGGCCACAUUGGGACUGGGAUGCGGCCCGGACUCCUACGGGAGGCAUCGGUGAGGAAUAGAGCACGAUAGGCGGAGGGCUGAUGCAGCAACGCCGCGUGCUGGAUGUCGGCCAUCGGGUAGGAAAGCGCUUUCGCCUGUGACGGAGCGUGAGUGACGGUAAUGGGUAAAGAAGCACCGGCUAACUACGUG